ACAACUAGUUUACUCAGCAAAAGUACCUCAUGUUGAUAUUCUUCAAUAAAGCAAUUUAAACACUUGAUAUAUCAUUUUUCCAUGUCAUCCAAAGUCAACAUGCAUUUCAACCAUAUCAAAGUUUCCUGAAUCCUAUAGGUUGAUAUUUAUGAUGAAAAAUAGCAUCCAAAUGACAACUUGUAAUUUUGUGUGCUGAGCUUAUGAUCAUGUAAUUUAUCAAUAACAAAUUGUAUUCACCCCUCAUGAACCCUAGGAAAAAACAUGAUACAAAAAGAACUGGAAAAUGCUUAGAACUUAUCCAGGAAAAAUGAGAAAUUUCAAAGAGAAAAGAAAACUUACACUCUUCUGCAGCUUCAGUUUAAAUAAAAUGGAGUAAAAAUAUCCAAGUUUCAUGAGAGAAUCAAAAUCAAAUAAAAUCAAAUUUUGAUCCAGGGGAAGAAGAAUGGAUUGACAAAAAAAUUUGGACCAUUUCUCGAUUUGUGCGUGUCAUCCUUGCGCAGGGGCCAUGCUAAUCUUCUCUGUAUCGUUCCAAUUUUAUCGGAUGUCCCCGAAGGGACAAUCUCUACUGCUAGGUGGUUCAUUAUAAACACUUGUAUUGUUGCAAGUUUAACCGAUGUGGGACUUGAGACAGCCUGCGAUGCUCAAAAAAGACCGAAAUAACACAAGUCUGCUCAGCCUCAAUAGACAGCAUGCGAGCAUGCAUCCAAGCUCUUUCGUGUUUUGUGGGAAUGCUAGAAAGAACAACGGUGAAGUGAGGAAGACAUAGAUAUUCUCAAAAUGUUUUGGUUUGCUUUAUCAAAAUUAUAGUUUUAGGACCAAAGAAUACGUGGAGCCUUGGAAAACAGCAACGUUUCAACUUUUCCUUGGUGAAUGAUCAACAUCGAUCUCCCACUCCCCCAAAGGACAGAGCUGGGAGAGUCUCUAGCCUCUUUGAUUACACAAUACUACAUAAAUCUAUCUACUGCCUCUAAUUUCCCAACCUUCUAAUUGGCCCUCAUCCUACUAUUAAGAACUCUACUUUUUGAGUUGGGCUUUUUCUGCAAUGCUUUUAGUCCUAUUGUUGUGAGCUUUUCUUUUUGUAACCCGCACCUCAUUAUUCGGUGGAGUAGUUCAAUCCAGUUCAAAACUUUUACCUUUUUGAGUCAUUUAUAUAAGAUUUCAAGAACUUCGGAAUCAAAUACAUGGCAACAUUGAAUUUGGAUGAAUUUCUCCAACGUUUUGCAAUGCCAUGAAGGGCAUAGUGACAUCAUGUUACACAACAAAAGUCACAACAACCAGAUUAUCACAUGAAAGUCCCACACUGCUAGCACCGAACUAUAUCCUAAGGUUUAUAUACUGACACGGUGAUAUAACUGAUCACGACCUUGCUUGAACAGGAUCUGUUCUAUAGGCUCGUACAACUGUAUCCUUGAGUUCUAAGGAGACAAGAACCAAAGUCUGGUUGAUGAACCAUGACCGUGUGAUCAGAGCGUGAUUAACAGUCCACUGGUUAGCCUUUGGGUUCACCAAUUGGAGGGUAGAGGAUCGUUCUCAGCUAGUAUCCACUGGCUGGGGUGGUCACACGGUUGUCUGACAAACCCAAAUCUUUUCCAUUUAUUUAGAAAAAAAACGGUUGUCUGACAGACCCAAAUCUUUUCCAUUUAUUUAGAAAAAAAAGGAAGAAAAGCACAUCUGUUGAAAAAAUAUGAUGCAACAGAAAAAGGUAAGCAAAUAAGAUUAUAAGAGAGCCAAAACAAAAACAAAAAUUUAUUUGCCCACAUUUGCGCCUUCAACUUGGGAUUUGAUAGAGUGCUCUUUGUUUCCAAGCAACUCAGCAGUGAAAGGCACACCCAAAUAAAUUUCUUUCCUAGUUCUUUUGCAGCAUGAGUUUGCAUAUAUGUAGCCAAUGGUAUUUAACAAACCAAACCCAAAAGUACUAUAAUGACAAGUUGACAACUAGUUUACUCAGCAAAAGUACCUCAUGUUGAUAUUCUUCAAUAAAGAAAUUUAAACACUUUAUAUAUCAUUUUUCCAUGUCAUCCAAAGUCAACAUGCAUUUUAACCAUAUCAAAGUUUCCUGAAUCCUAUAGGUUGAUAUUUAUGAUGAAAAAUAGCAUCCAAAUGACAACUUGUAAUUUUGUGUGCUGAGCUUAUGAUCAUGUAAUUUAUCAAUAAAAAACUGUAUUCACC
rnacentral:lncRNA from 1 species